ACACAUUUUCAAGACCUAGACACAACCUAAAAAAAACCUAACACAUCUAAGGGAGCCGUUUCUCAUGAUCUGGAACCAAAAAAAACCCUAAGACCAUCAUCUUCCUCAACCUAACACACCUAGGCCCCUAACCUAGAGGAUCCCUGAGAAAUCAGCCGCAUACGCUCCUUCUUGAACCAGCGAAGAACAGAGCUCCAUCAGCCAUCUCCACCUUUCUUCUUCAACCUUCAGACACCCUAACGCCACUUCCCCUCCGGCCAAACCCAAACAGCCGAAACCCAACCCUUUCCUACAAAAUCUUUGGCAGUCGACCACCCUAGAACGACCAUCUCCACCAAACCAUCAGCCGUUGCCAAUUUCCAAACAUUCAAAAUAGCUGAAACAUAACAAAGAGGGGGGGAUAGAAGAUAGAUUUAGAAAGAAAACAAAAAAUACAGAGCGAGAAAAGGGUUUACAAAUAGAGAACAAAGAGAUGCGAGUUUCAAUCCAUCUCUGUUUUUUGUUAAACCACAAAAAACUUCAGCCUUCUUCAACCAUGAAAGCUGUAAAACCAGCUCUAAGAACGUGAAAACAGUAGCUCAAACCACUGCUCGUCGCCGUGAAAAUAGCGGCGUGUGUGUGCGAUUUUCUGAUUCUCGCCGGAAUUUUAGAUCGACUAUUUUUUAAACUUCCCGGCGAAUUUCGAGAUUGUCCGGGUGAGGUAGUCCAAGGUUUAAAAGCAGAAAAAUCGCUUGCGCCCUUCUUCAAUAACUUGGUAAUUGCUUUCUUAAUUGCUUUAACACCCAUCUUACCGGAGGACGGGGACAAAUAAGCCUCUGAAUUCGCCGGAGUUGGAAAGCGCGAGGGUUAUGAUCUUGAUAUAGCUGAAGUUUGGUAAGUUUUGUUUUGACUUAAUAUAAAGGUUUUCAUAUUUACUUGAUAUAGUUUCACUUAAUUUAAGUAAAGAUUUUCCUGAAUUCAGUAUUUUGGCCUUAGUCUUCGAAGCUAUAUGAUCUUGGAUACUAUAAUUAAGGAAAAUGAAUUAUGCUGGUAAUUAUGUUAAGAGUUGUUAUCUUCAGCAUCUUAAUAUUCAUUCAUUUGAUUAUGUAAUCUUGUUUGAAUUGAACUUCUGUGCAUAUAUUGAUUCCAGUGGUUUCGCAAAUGCUUGAGUCUCUUUUCUAGUGAUUGAAUUUAAAUGCAGUCUUUUACUUUUUGUCCCGCAUAUAUUCAUUGCAAUAGUAGUCUUGGAAAGAAAAUGUGUAGGCAAAGUUGUUUGUUUGAAUUAAUAAAAAUAAAGAAUAUCUUUUCAAUAUUAGUUCCGAUUGUAAAGUAGCCAGUUUAACACUGUUCGCUAAUGAUGUGGGAAUUAGAUUUGAGCAAUUUACAAAAAUGAAGACGUGAAUGGAAUUUGGUGCCGAUUGUUUUUUCAAUUAAAUCUUAUGGAUUUAGUGCUCUGUUAAGUUGACCCAUUUUUCUAUAUUUCAUAUCCCUAAUUCAUAACCUCACAAUAAAUCUCAAAUUAGUUUUAAGAAUAACCAUGAAUUUCGUAGUUUGCUUUAGGCGCGUUAUAAUAAAUCAUCAUAACUACGAGUACGGUUUCCGUGACGUAGUUGUGAUAUGUAAUUCUCAAAUCCGGGUGCACAUUUUAUGUGACCCGACCACAACUUCGAACCAUUAAUAAAUUAAAUAUGUUAUAUAUCAUGGGUACGGUUCCCGUGACACAAUUCACAAUGUGUACAAAACAUACAAGUGUACGACAAUCGUAACUUGUUCCAGAAUAAUUUCAUAAAUAAAUAAAUAAAAGCGGUUAAAAGGUUAAAAAUGCACAAUAGGUAUAAAAAAUGUAAUAAAUCAGAUAAAGAGACCAAUUAUUAAUAGUUGAGCAACCAUGCUAAAAUCACGGAACUCGGGAAUGCCUAACACCUUCUCCCGGGUUAACAAAAUUCCUUACCCGAAUUUCUAUAUUUUGCGGACCAUAAAUAGAGUCAAUCUUCCUCGAUUUGAGAUUUUAAACCGGUGAUUUGGGACACUAUAAAUUAUCCCAAGUGGCGACUCUGAUUUUGAAUAAAUAAUUCCGUUUCGGUUUUGUCACUUUAAUUGGAAAAACUCCCUUAUAUACCCCUUUCGGGUAGAAAAAGGAGGUGUGACAGCUCUGGCAACUCUGCUGGGGACAAGAACCCAGAAUCUCUGGUUCAGGGUUCAAGAAUUCGAGCUUAGAAUAAUUGUUAUAUUUGGCUUUUAUUUAUUAUCUGAUUUUUACUACAUGCUUGGGCCUAAUUAAUGGUGUCUAACAAGCCAGGUUUAACCGUAACUGGACCGGCCUAGACUGGUUAAAAUCAGAACCGGCCCGGACCGGUACAAGGGAGCCGGGUGGGGUUGGGUUAGAGGGGUAGGGGGUUUAAUCCGUUCACCUAUUUUUAACCGGUUACUCGGACCGGUCAAACCCGAUCAUCAGAAAUACUAUAGAACCAGUUAAACUGGCCUGGCCCAGACCAGACCAGCCCGACCCAGACCGGUUAACGACUAAUUUCUUUUUUUUAAAAUUGUUGAUUGGCUUAUUUGGUUACCAUUGGCAACAGUCACCUACCAAGGAGUCGUUGCCCAACGGCUGAUUUGCACAAUUAGCCCUUUUUUGGGAUUUAUUUUCAAAAAAUUAACACUUUUUGUAAUUACAAAUUUAACCCUUUUGUAAAACUAUAAAUACACCCCCUCUCUUCUUAUUUCUUCACUCACUCUCAUUUCUCAAUCUCAAUUUCUCAAUUCAAGUUAAAUCAUGCUCCGUACUUCUAGAGUGCGCUCAUAUGUUUGGGAACACUUUGAGGUGGUAGAAAAAAAUGAAGUUCACAAAGUAAAGUGCAAGAAUUGUGGUCGAGUCUUAAAUCUUCGUCCAAAGUGUGGCACAGGCUGUUUAGGGAGGCAUAUGAAGAGUUGUCUUGAGCGUCCUCUAAAAAUUCGUAUUUAAGUUGAUUUGAGACAAUUUGUGUUAUUUUAAAAUUAUUAUACGUAUUUAUGCUUAAUGUUUUAGUUUGUUAGAUUAAUUUGAAGUAUUGUUAUGCAUGAAAAUUUAGUUUUACUUUUUUUUCCGUUAAUUUACUUGUUAAAUGCAAACAUCCAUUUGUAAUUUUGAAAUAAAUGUAGCACUUGCAAUUUAUAAGUGCAAUUUUUCCCAUCUUCAUUUUAUUCUUUAUAUUAAUAUAACUUACAAUAGUUAUACAAAAUACAAAAAAUGUAACGACCCGACCGGUCGUUUUGAGCUUUAGCACUUCGCUCGCUAGUUCUCGGGCAUGACUAGCACCGUGCGGUGUAUUAUGACUUAUAUAAAUCGUCGAUUUUGGUUUUCAGGGUAAUCAGAAUGAAUUUGGAAGAACAGUUCUCAGUCUGAAGCUUAAAAUUUGAAAGGUUGACCAAGUUUUGACUUGUUAGUAUAUGAUCUCGGAUUGGAAUUUUUAUGAUUUUGUUAGCUCCGUUAGGUGAUUUAGGACUUAGGAGCAUGAUCGGAAUGUAUUUUGGAGGUCCGUGGAAGGUUAAGGGUUGAAUUGGCGAAAUGGGCUUUUUGGCAUUUUUCAGUUGAUAGGUGAGAUUUUAAUAUAGGGGUCGGAAUGGAAUUCCGGAAGUUGGAGUAGGUCCGUUGUGUUAUUUGUGACGCAUGGGCAAAAUUUCAGGUCAUUCGGACGAGGUUUGAUAGACCUUUUGAUCGAAUUCAGAAUUCAGAAGUUUUUGGAAUUCUUAUGCUUGAAUCCGAUGUGAUCUUAGUGUUUUGAUGUUGGUUUGAGCGUCCCGAAGGUUGGAUCAAGUUUGAAUGAUGAUAUGAGAUAUGUUGGCAUAUUUGGUUGAGGUCCCGAGAGCCUCGGGUGAGUUUCAGGUGGUUAAACGGAUCAAAUUCUUGUUUUGAAAGUUGCAGAUUUCUUCAGAUCAGUGUUGCAGAGUUUUGCUCUUCGUGUUCGCGAGAGGGCCCUCGCGUUCGCGAAGAGAUGUUGAGUGAGUCAGGCCAGUUACCCUUCGCGUUCGCGAUGUUGGUCCCGCAUUCGUGAAGGUUGAGUCUAAUUGUGCAUCGCGAACGCGUGGCAUGGUUCGCGUUCACGUAGAAGGGUGAAGCAGACUUGGGCACCUGGCCCUAAAGCAUCGCAUUUGCGACUGAAGAAACGUGUUCGUGUAGGCUGAGCUGAGUAAGGCAUCGCGUUCGCGAGGGUAGUGUUCGCGUUCGUGUAAGAGGAAAUUUGAGCUCUGAAUUAUUUUUUCUUCGCGAACGCGAGGCUUUUACAGCGUUCGCGAAGAAGGAAUUUUUGGCUUCAGCAGAAUGUUUAAAUAGCCAUGUUCGCGAUUUUUGGUCUAUCUUUCACCAUUUUUGAGCGAUUUUGGAGCUUUUUGAGUAGGAUUGAAGAGGGAAUCAAAGGGAAACACUUGGAGGUAAGAUUUUUGAACUCAAUACUCUAUCCUAUGUUGAUUCUUACUUGUUUAAACAUGAAAUUUGUGGAAAUUAAAGCCUAAAAUUAGGAAAGGGCUUGAAAUUGGAAAAGUAUAAAUUGGGGAUUUGAGGGGCCAUUUGAUGUUCGAUUUUGAUGUUCUUGGUAUGUAUGGACUCGUGAGAGGAUAUGGAUUUUAUUGAUUUAAUUUUUAUUGGAUUCCGAGACGUGGUCUCGUGGGUCGAGUUUGGCCAAUUUCAGGAUUUUUGCUAUAAAUUGGUUAUUUUCGAGUGGGCUUUAUUUCCUUAGCAUAUUUUGAUGGUAUGAAUCUGCUUUUGGCUAGAUUUGGAAAAUUCGGAGGCCGAGUUGAGAGGCAAAGGCAUCACGGGCUAGAGUUUGGACCAGAUCGAGGUAAGUAAUGAUUGUAAAUAUUUGUCCUGAGGGUAUGAAACCCCGAAUUUUCACAUCUUUGUGCUAUAUUGAGGUGACGCACACGCUAGAUGACAAGCGUGGGGGCGUGCACCGUUGGGGAUUGUGACUUAGUCCGUCCCGUAUGACUGUUUAACCGCAUAUUUGAUUGAAAACUGUUUGCUAUCAUCAUUUUUUGGGCUGAAUGCCAUAUUUGGGCCUCGUGCCAACUGUUUUGGACCCUUAGGGGAUUUUUACUACUAUUCCUCACUGUUUUGACUUCAUAUUUGCUCUCAGUCAUGCUGUAUUCUACUGUUUACAUAACUCAGCCAUAUUUACUCUGUUUUGACAUUUGAAAUAAUAUUUUGGGCUGAGCAUCAUGUUUUAUUAUGCCCAAGUGGCUUUGAGAGAUUUCUGACUAAGUGAGGUCGAGGGCCUAUGUUGUGAGGAUAUUAUGGGAUCGGGAUGCGCGCCACAUCAGUGUGGUACUGAUUUAAGAUUAUGAGGCCGAAGGCCUGAUUUGUUACGCCACGAGGUGGCUUGAUAUGAGGCUGAGAGCCUGUUUGAUUAUGCCAUGAGAUGGCUUGUUAUUGCGCUUGGGCCGUAAGGGGCCCUCCCAGAGUCUGUACACCCCUAGUGAGCGCGGGUACCCUGAGUGAGUGAUAUAUUGAUUAUGCCAUGAGAUGGCUUGUUAUUGCGCUUGAGUCCUACGGGGCCCCUCCUGGAGUCUGUACACCCCCAGUGAGCGCGGGUACAUAGUGUGAGAUGUGGUAUAGCCCGAGGGGCUGAUGUUGUUCUAUUUUAUUGCCUGAGGGGAGGUUCUUGAUUUAUGUUAUGCCCGAGGGGCUGAUUACGAGUGAUUGUGAGGUAGCCCGAGGGGCUGGUUCUGUUAAUAUUAUGCCCGAGGGGCGGUUUAUGGUACAUGUUUUGCCCGAGGGGCUGUUUACAUUUCUAUCAUGUUUACUCACUAUUUUUUCACUCGUUUGAAACUAUUGAAAAUUUGUUUUAAAAGGUUUUACCAAAACUGAGCAUGAUUUAUGAAGUAAAUGAUUUCUGUACUGUGUUGGAAAUAUCCUGCAUUUGUUGUAGCGUUUGACGUGGCUUACGUAUUUUCUUACUGCUCAACUUUCAUUUACCUUUAUUACUUAUUUAGUUGGAGUACUCACAUUACUCCCUGCACCUUGUGAGCAGAUUCAGGUAUUUCAGAACCCGGUAGCAGGUGUUGAUUGUUCAGUGGUAGAGUCAUCGGAGUUAGAAAGGUAGCUGCCCGACGUCCGCAUCACUGCUUUUCUCCCUCUUGUUUUCAUUAGACUGUAUUUAGUACAUUUUCAGAAUUUUUUGUUGUAUUCAGACCUUAGUUGAUGCUCGUGACUUGUGAGACCGCGAUGUUGGGCUUAUGUAUUUAUUCCGCACUAAUCAUUUAGACUUACAUUAUGAGAUAUCUGAUUAAUUAAAGGCUUAAAAAUGAUUAUUAUUAAUUAAAUAGUUAAUUCGGGAGUUGUGUCGGCUGGCCUAGUUUCACGAUAGGUGCCAUCACGACCGGGUUACUUUUAGGGUCAUGACAAGUUGGCAUCAAAGCCUAGGUUUUAUAGGUCUCACGAGUCAUGAGCAGGUUUAGUAGAGUCUCGCGGAUCGGUACGGAGACGUCUGUACUUAUCCUCGGGAGGCUGCAAAACCUUUAGGAAAAACUUCACAUUCUUGAAUUCUUAUCGUGCAUCCUUGAUUCAGCUUGAAAUGUAACUCUUUGAAUUCCUUCCAUGCGUUCGUACACGCGCAUGAGCGCUCGAUAUCAGUUGUGCAUCAACGGCUUGUGAUUUCCUGAUCGAGGGGUGAGAUAUGAUUUAUGUGUCUUGAUGUUGGGCCAGUAUGGAGGACUUGAGGCCGAGUUUUGCCUGUAGCUUGAGCACUGAGGCGUUGAUUAUGUGAGUACGUGCUUUUGGAUUCAUGUUUUCGGUAGUAUCCCUAUUAGUGGAAGUGAUGGCUGGAUGGCUAUGUGAUGAGUAUGAUGUGACUGCUAGAUGUGUUCAUACGAUUUGAAUGAGAUGAGAAUGGCGUGCUUGGUGAUGAGUGGUGAUGUUACCACUCAUUCUAGUCUCUUUUCUUUAGCUUUUAUGUCCUUUAACUAUAAUAUGAGGUCGUUUAUGGUGUGUAUUGCUAGAUUUUCAGGUAAAUGAUGCCAUGAAAUGAUUUGAAUUCAAUUGGAGUGGAAUUGAACAAAAGGGGUGAAAACCAUGCAAAACUCCCAUGUGAUUCCGCAUCUGCGGAAGGUUGGUCUCAUAACCCUGCUUCUGCAUGAAAAGUCCCGCUUCUGCAAAGUUGUCUGACCUUGCAAGAAACUGCAUCUGCGGUUAGAUUACUGCUUAUGCUGUUGCGCAUCUGCGCCGGGUAAACCACAUCUGUGGUGAUAGAGUUUAGUUGACAUUUCGCUUCUGCGAUGGGAUCUCCGCAUCUGGGGAGCCGCACCUGCGAGGAUUCUUCCGCAGGUGCGGUCAACAGACCUGGGCAAUUCAGGCAUUUCAUAUGUUCUCAACUUCAAACUAUUUUUAUACACGACCUAGCAGAUAUUUUGAGGAUCUUUGACUUAUUUUCAGUUCUUAGAACUAGAGAGAACAGGUGGAAGCUAGGGUUUUGCACACACACUUGNNN
rnacentral:lncRNA from 1 species